AGCACGUUAGUAUAAAAAUACCACUGACUUAGGAUCAGUUAAUAAGUUCCAAACUUACUUGCUA
rnacentral:tRNA from 1 species